GCAUCCGCUCUUCCUUUAGCUGGGCGUCGCGCCGGCGCACCCCAGUGGCCGCUCGGGUCUGGGGUUUGCGGGAAGCGGAGACGCGGGGCUGUCUCGUCCCACUCACAGCGCGUCCGUACGGGUGUGCUGCUUCGCGCCCGGGCAGGUUGCAGGCAGGAGAAGGCUUUGUAUGUGCUGAAAUAUCUUCCGCUCUAUUGAGAGCAACUCACAAGAGUCAUUUGAAAAUUAAAAUUUGAUGCUUUACAUCCGGAGGAGACGGAGUGUGCCUUCUGCUGAGGUUUCAUGAGUCAGACUGGGCUGUUGGCAGUUUGUUCUGAAGAUGUACAUGUUGGUUGAAAACCGCACGAGUUCCUAUCUUCAUCUGAAGAGGUCACCUGGCAUCCGAUCUUGGUCUCUCUUUGUUGGAAUAGCCUCCAUAGGUUUGGCUGCUGCUUAUUACAGUGCAGACAGCUUGGCAUGGAAGCUCUUCUAUAUGGCUGGGUGUUUCUUUGUGGCAGCACAGAAUCUGGAGCAGUGGGAGGAAGCUGUAUUUGAUAAGAACAAGGGAACAGUCUGCCUAAAAACAUUCAACCUUUACAAAAAAAUACUGACCUUCUCAAAAGGAGGCAAUGAACAAGUAGUGGCUCUGCUGCACGAGAUCCGAGAUGUGAACGUGGAAGAGGAGGUUGUGCGGUAUUUUGGGAAGGGUUACCUGGUUGUGCUACGAUUUGCCACUGGAUUUUCACACCCGCUGACUCAGAGUGCAGUGCUGGGCUGUAGAAGUGAUGUGGAAGCAGUUGCCAAGCUCCUUACUAGUUUUCUGGGACUGGACAGAGUAGAGAGCCAAGAAGACCUCUCUCAGAGCAGCGAAACAGAGGGUAGUGAUGCAGAUGAACCACAGGAUAAAUAUUAAUAGUCGUCAGGAGCUGAAGAAAGCAGAGGCUUUCAAACAUCUGGAAAAUAUACUGAUUGCUCUUCAGAAAAAGAAAUCUCUCACAGUCUUUACCUGGGCAUUUCUCUACGUGUGUGUGUGCAACAGGAGGAAUCUGUCUUAGGACACCUUUUUUAGGCUAAACUGCUUCAAGAUCCGCUCUCUCAGCAUUGCUGUUGUAGAGUCCAAAGCAAAUUCCGGUUUAUUUGUUCCUUUGCCUUAGUUCCUGCAUGUGGACACUGGCUUUUGAGCUUUGUUAGCUCAUCCAACUUGUCUAAGAACAGUUAUUUAUUAAUUAAUGGGUUUGAAAUCAUUUAUUGCUUUCCCAUUAAUGAAGUGGAGAUACAGAUGCAAACAUCUGCUGCAGGUACAGUAUAUGAAAUGGAGAAGAGCUGAAUUUGAAAUCAACACAAUGCUUUGAGGUUUUUCUCAAAAUGUUAUAAAUGACUGAAUAUAUGGCUAAAUUGGUUUUAAGCAGCUUAAUAUAUGCAAUUAGGUGAUGCAGGAUAGUGGCACUUUUGUAUUCUCUACUACUGACCUGCCGCUAAGAUACCAGUGAAGUUAAAGUUGGAGUGACUGUCUUGGAAUUGGAAACAACAGGCUGAUCGCCCUGUUACAGUCUGACUUCUCUUGGACUUCCCAGGGAGCUGUAAACAAAAACUGAUCAUGUUGAUGAUUCAACAUCUAAGGGUACCUUAAUCCUGUUCUGCUUAACUUCUGGGCAUAGAUUGCCCCAAGAUAAAGAAGCUUUUUCUAGACCUCAGCAGUUACUAUUUUAACAGUGUAUUUAGAAAGGAAGAAAAGCACAUGUUAGUUUAGGUUGGGAGAAGACUGAUGUCAAACUAUGUGGCAGCCUAGAUUUGUUUAGUAUUUCCUCACUUGAAAUGAUACCUAAGUGCUAAAUAAUAACUUUUUUAAGAUAGCUGGGGUAGAUCCACUGUCUGCUUUGUAUCCGUGUCUUACUCCAGGUGUGUGUAGUGUCCUCUGUUCUGACCAACGGUUUCACAGAUGGUUAAAACACAAAUUUUCCAAGAUACUUUUUGAAGUCAAAGCUACCUCUGUUAGCCAACGUGUUCUGUCUAGAACUAAAACUUCAUCAUGUUGUCGGUACAAGGGAAAAAAAAAAUGUUGUAAAGAGCUAAAAACCCCUUCAACGUGUUAAAACUGCUUGUGUUAUAGUUCACUGAGUUCUAUUUAGGAAUUGUAUGGUCUGAAGAGCUGAAUUGGAAAAUACUUAAUAGAGUUACUUCUUGGAGACCUGAAGGGGGAAUUGUGUGCUCUGCUUUCUCCUGUGGCCAGUGGCAGAUGUCUUCAGGACUUGGCCUGCAUUCUGGUUUCAAAGCUCUACCUCUGCAGAAGAGACAGCUCUGAAAAGGUUUCAGCAGAAGCUGUGUCCUGUUGUGUGUUCCUUCUCUGACCCAAGAAUGGCUUGUACUGAAAAUGCUCAAAGUGCUCUUUCUGUCUGUUUAAAAGGGACUGCAGCACAGAAGUGGGUUCUCUUUCUGUGAAAUAAGAAAAGAAACCUGUAAUUGUGUCAGGUAUCAAAGCAGACCUCUGCUGAUGGACCUGCUUGUGAAGCCGUCUGAGUUGGGGGAGUUCAUCCUUUGGUUUUCACUCUCCACCCCACAUCACUGGAAUUGGGAAGCUGCUUUGUAUGAAUGUGGGAAAAUCAGGUUGCAGGCAAUUAGCUAAACUUGGCGUUUAUCUGAAGCACAGCUGUAAGCAAAGAGUAAUCACCAAACUGGCUUAAAAAAAAUACUGCAGGGUGUAACACUUUGGAGAGCCCUUCAUUUAAAUCUAGAGUAAUGUAUAGCCUGGGUGACACUCAUUUUAGAGGGAAGAGAAUGAGAUUGGGAAUUUGGAGAACUUGGUUUUUUUCCACUGUGUAAAAUGAGAAUUUCAGGUGUUCUAAGGACUUCCAGUAAGAAAUACUGAAAGAGUGUUUAGUGGGAUAAUGUAACUGCUGCUUUGCAGUGAGGCUCUGCAGAGGGAGAGCGCGGUGGGGAUCUGCAUUGCACUUGUGUCCACGGGUUUCUUUGUGUUUCCCCAAGACCUAACAUUCCAUGGAAGAUACAAACCACGCUGGGGUUUUCCAGUUAAAAAUCAGCUUCAGAAAGGUACGACUGUUGAUCUAAGCCUGUGCUGUGUGGUGUGCCCUGCUUCUGCUGAGCCCUUCUGUGCCUCUCGCUUCCUCUGCAGCCUUGAUGUCAGUAGUGCCUGUACUUAUGGACUAUGCAACUUCGUUAUACAAACACCAAAGCAACCUGAGGAGGAUUCAGAACCCCUAGCAAGGGGAAUGACCUGUAGGAAGAGAAACCAGCCUGGAUUACAUUCUGUGGAGUAAAUGGGAGCUGGAAUUCCGCAGACUGUGAAGGCUGAGUGAGUAAAUUCAUCCAGUUUGGUGUGUUCUGGCUGGGGGCUGUGUGCUGGGUGCUGCUGGCUGGUCCCUACAACCAGGAGCUCGUCGUGGUUCAACCCACAGCACGGGCAGAGGCUGGCACGGCUCGGCACCUUGGAGGCCCUACGUGUGUCACAGGCUGACGUGUGUUUCUCUUAAUCAAGGUUUUGAGCUUCCCAUCUUCAAAAACUGUCUUUUGUACUUGGAAGACAUAUCUGGAUUUUCACGUUUUGCAGUCACUGUGUGCAUGGAAAGUUAAUUUGCAAGUGGCUGUGAACAUGGAUUUGGUUAUGGCAGUGUCUGCAGGCUCCUCAGCAACACGAUGCAGCUUGAAGGAACGGUUUAGAAGAGCAGGUGCUAACUCAGGACAGGUUCUGCUCAACCCUAUUUCCACUAGUCCUUUCUCUGAGCCUCUUGCCGCUUUUUGACCAUUUUGGAUGGUUUUCCUCACUUCUCUUGGGCCUGGCUGGUUGAAAGGCCCAGUUCACGUAGCCUCGUGUGCCUGAUGUAACGUGGCUUGUACUAUGAGGAAUGAUGUGAAAGACUAGUUUUUGGUUGGGAAAUUAGACACUCCUGGAAGAGCAUUACAGAUGUGCUUGUUAAGGUUUGUGCAUCUCAGACUGUAGUAACUUGAGACUAAACAGCUGUAGUUUGACUUACAAAUGAUUUGAAAACCUGCAUAAAAGGUCUUAAUGUUCUAUGUAAGCCUGUGCUUCAUGAAGCCAAGGCUUUCUGUUACCUCUUUAAUCUAGGUGUACGGUAAGUGCCGGUUGGCAGAUGCUGCAGCUGAAACCCCAGCAGCCUGUGUGCAGUUCCCUGCGUGGCUGGGGCUGGGAUCGCGGCCUCGGCUGUCGUGCUGAAUGGAAGCAUCUUAUAGAAAGGGAGCAAGCUGCCUUAUCUAAGCCAUAACCCAAUAUUCUGCUGUUUCACAAACAGAGAUACUCUGGUAACUAGGAUCAAUUGUACGAGUCUCAAAAACCAAGGUAUUUAUAGUCUAUAGCUGA